GAUGAACGCUGGCGGCGUGCCUAAUACAUGCCAGUCGAGCGAACAGACGAGGAGCUUGCUCCUCUGACGUUAGCGGCGGACGGGUGAGUAACACGUGGAUAACCUACCUAUAAGACUGGGAUAACUUCGGGAAACCGGAGCUAAUACCGGAUAAUAUAUUGAACCGCAUGGUUCAAUAGUGAAAGACGGUUUUGCUGUCACUUAUAGAUGGAUCCGCGCCGCAUUAGCUAGUUGGUAAGGUAACGGCUUACCAAGGCAACGAUGCGUAGCCGACCUGAGAGGGUGAUCGGCCACACUGGAACUGAGUCACGGUCCAGACUCCUACGGGAGGCAGCAGUAGGGAAUCUUCCGCAAUGGGCGAAAGCCUGACGGAGCAACGCCGCGUGAGUGAUGAAGGUCUUCGGAUCGUAAAACUCUGUUAUUAGGGAAGAACAAAUGUGUAAGUAACUAUGCACGUCUUGACGGUACCUAAUCAGAAAGCCACGGCUAACUACGUG
rnacentral:rRNA from 1 species